rnacentral:rRNA from 1 species
UAGCCGUAAACGAUACUCGCUAGGUGUCGGCCACGGUGCGACCGUUGUCGGUGCCGUAGGGAAGCCGUGAAGCGAGCCACCUGGGAAGUACGGCCGCAAGGCUGAAACUUAAAGGAAUUGGCGGGGGAGCACAACAACGGGUGGAGCUUGCGGUUUAAUUGGACUCAACGCCGGGAAUCUCACCGGAUAAGACAGCUGAAUGAUAGUCGGGAUGAAGACUCUACUUGACUAGCUGAGAGGUGGUGCAUGGCGUAGACGUCU